CUGUCCUUUAGCACGGCCUCCAGAGGCAUCUCGGGGCUGGCCUCUGCUUAUCCCCUGAGACUCCUCCCAAAUCAAACCAAGCUCCAGCUUUACUUAGAGCUCUUUGAAUUGCCUUCCUCUUUUAUAUCUCUGUACAUAUUCUUCCUCUGCUUGAACUAUUCUUCCCACUCACUCACCUGGCUGAUAUCAAUUUGUUCCUAAAAUAGCCCGGAGAUCAGCUCUUCCAGAAAGCCGGAAUAUGAUCAGCUUGGCUUAGGGACUCUUCCCAUAAGCUCUUACUUUCCCAUGAUCUGCCGCAUCGUGUUCUUCAUCAUGCUCUGCUGACAUACUUUCCUUCUCUUCCUCCCCCCGUGGACUAUGUGCUCCUUUGGGAGAAGAUGUGGCAUCUUUUUCUCCAGUGUAUCCCCGGCCUGUAUAACUGAACAGGUAUUCUAAAAAAUGCUUGGAAUUUUUUAAAUGGCUAAAUUUUAAAAAGAAGGCUUAAAAAUGAGCAGACUUAAAGAUGGGAUUUUAAAAUAAAUUAUCCUAUAAAGAUCAGCAAAGGAAGAAUUAAAACCCAAAAGAAAAAGAAAUAAUUACAGAAAAAUCUGCAAUUUCCUCACUUCUCAACUCACUCCUGCUUCCUUACAUUUGAAGCCUGGGAUUCACUCUCUUCUUUUUAUUUUUUUUAUUUUUUUCCAGUUUCAAGUUCUGCUUAAGAGCAUGUCAGGAGUCACAGUCUCCAGCGACUCAGGUCUUUGAUGCUGUUACCUAAUCCUACUUUAUUUCCUGCAAGCAACCACAGAACCAACUCUGAUCCUCAACAGGAAAUUCUGAGCAUUCACCAUUUCAGAUCCUUUUAAGCUGAUUAUGGUUCUUAGAGGGAGUAAAAGCCAUCCAAGCUGCCUGCAGAAGCUCAUACCAUACCAUCCUGCAUGUGGACAAGGAACUCACGGGAACAGGGAACAUAGGAAACGAGAGAGUGUGAAGGACAAUGAACUGCAGAGCCUAACUGGCGCAUGGACUUAGCCAAAGUAAGUGUUCCCAAAUCACAAAACCAUAACCAAAAGCAAACCCUCUAAAGGACAGUGUGAUGACAGUUAGCUCAGGCUUAGGCCUCUGGAGUGUGCGUUUGGGAAUCCCUUGCAUACUGAGGCCUGUGUAAUGCAAAAAGGGUCAUAUAGAAAUCUGGGGGUUAUUUGGGGUAAGUCCACUGAUAGUAACUGAAAAGCUAGCCUUGAGGAGAUAACUUUUAUCCUAUUAAUGUUAGAUCACUUUAUUGCUCAUAAAUUCAAGUUGAGAUUUAGUGACAUUGGACUAACACGGGCCCUUGCAAAUUUAUUGAGUUCCUGCAAACCAAGGUAUUAUCUAACUUCAGGAAGAGGAAGGUAGUUCAGACAACCUCUCCACUUUGCAGCAGCUAUUACCUACAUCCAAAAGAUCAUCCAUUCUUCUAAAGUUUGGUCCCUGCAGAGCUACCCUGUUACUAUCACAGUAAUGUUCAUGUUAUGUACAGUUUUAAUUCAGACUGUUGCAAAGAGAAGCAAGAUGGAGGAAAUAAUUCUCUAUCAAAAUCAAAUUGAAGACUGUACAAGUUAUGUUUCAGUUUGAUGACCUUUAAGAUGACCUGAUGCAAAGUCUAGCAGUUGACAACCUGAUUGGGCUUGAGUGGGAUGCACUCAGAGACUCAGUCCUUGCCUCCCCAGCUUCCCCAAGUGCCUGAGAAAAGGGUUGUGUUUAGAAAGAUGGAGAAGAAGAGGAAGAGCAUGCAGGGGACAUAAUGUGAGCAGAGAAUCAAAGGUCAGGAUGUGCAUGAUACACUAGGGAGACUGAGUGGAUGAUUAAAUUGGCUUAAUGUCCAUCAGCAUGGAAAGAAAUUAGGGAAGAAUAAGUUGGCCAGAAAUUGAUAUCAAAAUG
rnacentral:lncRNA from 13 species